rnacentral:rRNA from 1 species
CUUGUCUCCAAGAUUAAGCCAUGCAUGUCUAAGCACAAACUGAAUAAUUGUGAAGCCGCGAAUGGCUCAUUACAACAGCCAUUGUUUACUGGAUAUAUCAUUACUACAUGGAUAACUGUGGUAAUUCUACAGCUAAUACACGCUGCGAAACCCCGACUAACGGAGGGGUGCGUUUGUUACUUCAAAUCAAUCGGACUUCGGUCUGAUAGCAAGUGAAAUUGAACAAUUUAGCUGAUCGCACGGUCUUGCACCGGCGACAUAUCCUUCAAACGUCUGCCUUAUCAACUGUCGAUGGUAGAUUAUGCGCCUACCAUGGUUGUAACGGGUAACGGAGAAUCAGGGUUUGAUUCCGGAGAGGGAGCCUGAGAAACGGCUACCACAUCCAAGGAAGGCAGCAGGCAAA